rnacentral:tRNA from 1 species
GGGCCCCUAGCUCAAUUGGCAGAGCGCCCGCUUCGCAAGCGGGAGGCUCCGGGUUCGAGUCCCGGGGGUGUCCA